rnacentral:rRNA from 1 species
AGUGAACGCUGGCGGUAGGCCUAACACAUGCAAGUCGAACGGCAGCACAGUAAGAGCUUGCUCUUACGGGUGGCGAGUGGCGGACGGGUGAGGAAUACAUCGGAAUCUACUUUUUCGUGGGGGAUAACGUAGGGAAACUUACGCUAAUACCUCAUACGACCUACGGGUGAAAGCAGGGGAUCUUCGUACCUUGCGCGAUUGAAUGAGCCGAUGUCGGAUUAGCUAGUUGGCGGGGUAAAGGCCCACCAAGGCGACGAUCCGUAGCUGGUCUGAGAGGAUGAUCAGCCACACUGGAACUGAGACACGGUCCAGACUCCUACGGGAGGCAGCAGUGGGGAAUAUUGGACAAUGGGCGCAAGCCUGAUCCAGCCAUACCGCGUGGGUGAAGAAGGCCUUCGGGUUGUAAAGCCCUUUUGUUGGGAAAGAAAAGCAGCAGGUUAAUACCCCGCUGUUCUGACGGUACCAAAAGAAUAAGCACCGGCUAACUUCGUG